GUGCUCGCUUUGGCAGCACGUAUACUAAAAUUAGAACGAUAACGAGAUUAGCACGACCCCUGUGCAAGGAUGACACCUAUAUUUAAAAAUGAAUGAAUGAAUGA
rnacentral:snRNA from 1 species